CACACCUCCCAAGGCACCAUCGGAUGCCGCCACCCUUUAUGAAUUAGCAUAGAAAAAUAUGGAAAAUGGAAGGUUGUUAAUAGUUUGAUGAGAAAUGGACUCUUCCUUUUCUCAUCGCACAAAAGCAGGCAUCUCAAUUUAUUUUUGGCAUGUGAGUUCCUUCAUAGAGAAGGACUCUUCCUUCUCUUUUGCACCCACAUAUCCCA
rnacentral:lncRNA from 1 species